rnacentral:lncRNA from 1 species
GCUACACAAGAGGCUGCUGAAAUCCAGCAUUUGUUUUCAGAUACACGUUGAUGCUUUUUAAGGAAAUGAUUGUAAACCAGAGAAUUCUUUAAAACAACGUUGGUCACAGCUUUUCCAGCAUCGGCGCAAACUGAGUAAAUAAGGGGAAGCUUAAAGGAUCCAUGGAAGGACGCAAGGGUGCUGGCAUGCUGUGGAUCCUGCUGCUGGGCUCGGGGCAGGAGCCCUGGUCCGUGGAUGCCAUAUCUUGAAAGUUUAUUGGGCUCCUCAGUCUUGUCCUUUCUUCAGUAACCUAGGACGCCUCUGCUGUGCUUGCAAGAAGAAGCAUGAAUCAGACAAGGGGAAUUACUAUGUUUUCAGUGCAAGAGGCAGCGUUUUGGGGGAAGUUUCUCUAAAGGGUGAGUGAGAACAUUGCUGAGAUGCUCGCAGUGCCAGGGGAGCACAUCGGCAGUGAUAAGGUGGAGGAAUGGAAAGCUGUGCUCGUGCACCCGCGGGAGACCCCGGUGUCCUUGCCAGCAGCACCUGCCAUGCAGCAGAGGAGCGGCUUCUGCGUUGGAGAGAUGCUGCAUUCCCCAGGUGCAAGGAACACUGUGCAGUUUGCCAGUCAACAGAGCAUCUCAAACGUGUGCACUCAGCCGCGGGGACUGACCUCACCGGAGCUCUCAAGUGAAGAAGGGUAUGACAGGAUAGAGGAGGACACCAGACUGGCAGUGAAUUGCACAGAAGAGAUGUCCUACAGGAAAAGUCAUGAACCAGGAAAAUAG